UUAACUACGUAACUAGUGUGCUGGUAAUUUUUAUUAUGAUUACCCUUAUUAUAUCUUAGGUUGUUUUUUUUUCAGAUUAUAUGUUUUUUCAAGCUUGAUUCGUGUUUAGAUAGCGAAUAAUGUAAUUAAGGCGGUGCACUGGUAUGUAGAUAAUUAGUUAUUUAUGGUGCAUCAUGUUAAUUGCUUUAUUUGGAUCAUUAGCGGAGGAGGAAUGUUCAAUGAAGGACUUACUGUUAGAUAUCUUCAUUUACUUAUUUAUCGUAUUUCUGUUGUAACGAGCAGAUUACUGGGUUGAUUUGCACAUAGUUAAGUGGCAGCUGCUGGAUAAGUGUGUAUAAAAGCGGGUUUACACGGGGCAAUUCGCGGCAGGUUUUAGCCGGGAAUGUGUGUGUGUGUGUGUAGCAGUGUCAAGGUUGAGGCGUGAUUGUGGAUGUUUAUUGUGGAUUGGCUGGGAUAUGUUGAGCUCUUGUAGUGUGAAAAUAGACAAUGAUACAUGUUGUACUUCAUAAUCAGUGGAAUAGCUUGACCUCUUACUGUAAGAUAGACAAUGAUACAUGUUAUACUUCAUAAUCCAUGAUAUUUGCAGACAUCUUAGUGUAAAAAAGACAUGUUGUACUUAAAAAAGACAUGUACUUAAUAAUCAGUCAAAUGUACCUAUCUCCUAGCUGUCAUUUUUCUCUACUAUUUCCUUGCCUACCCUUAGCUUUACCCUUGGACUCUGCUCCCAUAUUAUCAGACUUUACAGGGUGAGGCCAUUUUCAACUUUUGUGUAUACCAUUACUUAGUGGCUGAGAUGCUGUGACUGUCAGGAGGGGAGCCUCUUGCAACUUUUGUGUAUACCAUUAUAUUUAGUGGGUGAUAUGCUCAGACUGUCAGGGGUAACAGUAGUAGUGAAGAUUAACUUGGUGCACAGUAUGAAGGCUGUUUGGUGUUGGAGGCAAGAUGUGGGAAUGAAUGAGGGGACCAAAGAGGGUAAUACCAGCACAGGAUAAGUGUGUGUAGGAUUGCCUGUUAGUAUAAUGUGACUUCAUGUUGAGAAGAUCAAGACACAACUGUUUUGAAUUGAUGGGGUACUUGAACUCGUUUAGUGUUAAGUUUUUUAUUUGUUUGUGUCUGUCGUGGUGUUUUUUGUUUUAUAUUUUGCAGGAAUUACUGGAUUGUUACAUUCACUUCAUUCUUGGGAUACUCAGGAUUGGUCUCAGUGCACCAGUAACCAAUGGCAACACAGAGGAAACUCCACAUCACAGCCCCCUUCUUGAAUUGACUUCAGUGCCUCAACAACCAAUGGCUACACAGUCUGAAGAAGCUCCAUCACAUCCAUGCAAACACCAACUGGGCACUCCGUGUGACUGGUGAUGGGUGGACGCUGAAUGUGCUGUGCUUGAGUAUAUUUGGUUAUUAAACCUUGUUGUUCCACUGAGCUGUGCUGAUGGUGGCUGGUGGCAGUGUUAGCAGAGCCCAAGCACAGCAUGCAUCCCUACUGGUGAUACCAUUAACCAUUUCCCUGCUAUUGACACAUCUCUCCUUAAUCUCUAACCACUGAGAGAUUUCUUCUUAUUCAACACCCACCUUCAAUCAUCAUAAUGGCUAGAAGUUGCAAAACCUAGCCUUGUAAUCCUUUUUGUUCUUGUAGACGCUUUUAAAAAUUUCAAACGUCAUUUUUAGUGUCGAGAAUUGUUGCAUAUCACAGGGAGAGUUAAUGCUGCGUGUGUUGCCUCCCUGCUUCUCCAAGGCUGUCAUGUCUCCAGUGUUACAUCUUUACUGAUGACUUUUAUCACAGCCUAAUCAUUAAGUAGAAAGAUCUAGUGUAAGAUGCAUUUUAAAUCUUGACUUUUUUUAUAUAUAAUUCAGAGUAUACAUCCUGGAACAGCCACCUACCUUCAGUAGUGCUUCAUGGUAUCACCCAACAGGCAUUCCUUCACCCUCUGUACAGGAAAAUGUGUGUGUGUGUGUGUGUGUGUGUUUACUUUCAGUGUUACUCAUGGAGCCUUUCCUUUAUAGAACUUAUAUUCCUUUAUGUGGCUGAGAAAUAUCUGUUUGAGGAAAUUAUCUUUAUUCUAUCAUGGACACCUCACUCCCUUUAGGACAUCAUCUAAAGGGUAGACAUGGCAGAAAAAUCUCCACCUCUCCCUAUCAAAACCUCCCUCCUCAUGUUUGAAAUGCUCUGCCUCUAAGUAGCAUCUGUUUCACAUUAUGCACACCCUUAUCUUGUCCUUCCACUUUCUAAGUGGCCUUCCUCUCUCAUAUUAAUGUCUAUUUUUUCCACUUGUAUGCACUUGAAUGUUCCAUUAUUCAUGUUGUGACUAAGGCUGAAUUGUUUCAAGGUGCUCCUCCUCCACCAUUCAACCACCCCACAUUUCACUUCAGUUUCACAGGUGCUCUCAUUCUGCAUUUCUUCUAUACACUCAUUGCUUUCACUCUCCCUUCAUGGCACUCUGUAUGCUUCACUGAGAAAACUCAUUUUCACACCAUGCACUCUUUCCUUGCCCUUUUCCAUCUCCAGGUUUUCGUCUGCACAUCAGUGUUGCCAGGAGAAUACUGUUCAUAAAAUUUCUCUUAAUAUCCCCACACAUUUCUUCUUUCUAUAUUUACUUUGUAACAGUCCUCUUCAGUACACAGUGUGGCAGAUUUGUCAUCAAAAGAUAUCCUUCAAGAAGAGUUCUAACACCAUAUUAGUGAUGAAGUAUUGUCAGUGUUAGGAAGAUGUUCCUGGGGUUGUAAUGAGAAAGACAGGUGUUAGUUUAGAAUGAGCAUUUUUCCUCCUCAAAGAUAUUCCCUUUACUGUUGAAAUGGCAUCCAGUCAGUCAGUCGAGUAGUGUGUGCCUUGGAAACCAAAGAGAAAGAUGCCAGCCUGAGAAGAAUCUGGAGGUGUGUAGUCCCUUUUAGCUCCCUGAUUCGUGCAUUAUUUACUGAACUGACUGUGGCUUUGUGAAGUGUCUCUUUGAGGAAAAAACACUUUCUAAAUAACUUCCUGGUUCAUCACAAAGAGAACAUCAUACAUUCCUUGUAGUUUACAUUCCUUGUAGUUUAUAAAAGAUAGACAAGAUUUAAGUAGCAAAACAAUGUGGUAGAAUUUUAUACAAGAUCAAACCAUGGCUUGAAAAUACUUUAUAAAUGACUAACUGAUGAUUGAAGGAGAGACAAGUGGGCAGCAUGCACAGCAUUCAUGGCAUUGUCAAAAUCAGAGUGCAUGCUGUGAAGUGUUAAAUGACAUGCAGACAUUAAGUUUUUGUUCACUUUGCAGGAGAGGGAGCGACGCAGCCACAAGGUGUGAUAAUGUCAGGAACACAUCUAUUGCAGGGAGGGAUUCUGGCAGAUGCUGGUCACACAAGACUGGUGUGUGUGUGUGUGUGUUGAUGUUAUGCAAGUACACUAGUGUGUUUUAUGUGAUAUUUUACACUGAAAUAGAGCAGGUAAAAUAAUUUGAUAGAAGCAAGAUUGUUGUAAUCACUGUAAAGUGGAACAAGUUGAAUGGAGUGGUUUUGCUCCAUGCAUUUUGUAUCAAAAUGCAACUAUUUGACAAAUUAGUAAACAAAUUUGCUGCCGUCUGUAAAAAGAAGUUGGUGGGGGACAUUUUACCCAUGAAAAUUUGACCAACUUUAUAUACAUACCCUGGGCUGAUGAGUGCCACUCCUGGCACUCCUGCUGAAAGCCAGUGUGCUGCCACAUGCAGGGUGUUCCUUCUUUAAUUUUCAGAGCAAAAUUGUCCCCUGAACUUUAUAAAAAAGGAGGGUGACAGGUUUAUUAUACUAAUUUUUUAUUUAAUUGCAUUUUAUUGAUUCACGUUACUAUUAAAGUCACUGCUUCUUUGAAAUGUAAUACAACUUUCAUCUGCUGCUCUCUUUAUUGUAGAAAGAUCACAAAUGCUGCUUCUCUUUGUUGUAGAAAGAUCACAAAACACUCUGGUAUAUGAUGCUGGUUCAUAUACCAAUCUUGUGUAGCCCAUCACUUCCAGCGAGAGCAACCUCCCUGCACUACACUACUGAAUCUAACUAAGAAAAGGCAAGUAAUUCAAGAAAUUAGAAGUGGCAUAAUCCAUCCCCACACAUGCAUGCAUGCCUAGAGGCAAGAAUGUGAGACUUAUCAGAUCAGAUUUUUUGUUUUAAUUUUGACCAGGGUUCUUCACAAGGUUCACAAACAGUAGUCUUGCACCUGCUAUCAGUGUGUAACAGGCUGAAGUGGAAUUCUUGUCCCAGGUUAAAAGACACUGCAGUCAGUGCUGACCAAAUCUUCAUUUAAAUUUAAAGCCUUGGUUGUCAGGUAGGUGUGUGCUGCUGCACUGAGUGACCUGGUGAACGUUCAGUCCCCAGCAAUACUAAUUUAUCCCACCUUCAGAUAAAUUUCCAGCAUUUCCAUUGCCAUGUCCUUUGAAUCACCAUGGAAACCAAAAUUGUUCUGAAAGCAGGUUAAAUUGACAGAGGCUUGCUUCUAUACCAGGGACCAAACCUCUGCCAGGACACUAGCAGAAAACAAGUCCAAAGUGACCAGUCAGGUCAUAGCUAGCAAGAUUUUGGUCAGACCUGAUUCCACCACAGUGACUUGUGGGCAAUGUCAGGUUCACAUGCAACAAAUCCAAAAAUAGAGAAUGUGAAUGUGAAUAUUGAAGGUGUCAUGAGAACACUUCAAAAAUAUUGGUGUACAAAAAGUAGCAGAUAUUUUGAAGGGAAUGUUGCCGAGGAGCAUUAUUAACAUCUGCCUGUGCAGAUUUAAAGUUUAUAAGCAUCAAAAGUGGAUUGGCUGUAAAUAAAUAUUCCAGGCACAUACGACUAAAAUAACAUGCUGAACUGCAAUCUUUCCCUCUAAGUAUCUCAACACUUUCUGAAGCUGAUGCACUCGUGCACAUCAAUGUUUGCA